GACGAACGCUGGCGGCGUGCUUAACACAUGCAAGUCGAACGGAAAGGCCUCUUUCGGGGGGUACUCGAGUGGCGAACGGGUGAGUAACACGUGAGUAACCUGCCCUUGACUUUGGGAUAACUUCCGGCAACUGGGGCUAAUACCGGAUAGGAGCUCCUGUUGCAUGGAGGGGGCUGGAAAGUUUCGGCGGUUGGGGAUGGGCUCGCGGGUUAUCCGCUUUUUGGUGGGGUGGUGGUUUACCAAGGCCUUGCCGGGUAGCCGGCCUGUGAGGGUGACAGGCCAUACUGGCACUUAGGUGCGGCCCCGACUGCUACGGGGCGGAGAUGGGGGGAAGCUUGACCAAGCGGUGGCAGCCGGAUGCAGCAACGCCGCGUGCGGGAGGACGGCCUUCGGGGUGUAAACCGCAUUCGCAAAUGACGGAGCUUUGUGUGACGGUAGUGGGUAAAGAAGCACCGGCUAACUACGUG
rnacentral:rRNA from 1 species